GCCGGGCAUGGUGGCACACGCCUGCAAUCCCAGCGGCUCGGGAGGCUGAGGCAGGGGGAUUGCAAGUUCAAAGCCAGCCUCAGCAAUGGCAGGGUGCUAAGCAACUCAGUGAGACUCUGUCUCUA
rnacentral:sRNA from 1 species